AUACUAUAGGUAAAUAUUUUAUCUUCAUUUAUUGAUAAAAUAUGUCCAGGGAGGCCAGGAUUAAAGUUCAGGUUUAUCUUAGGACAAAUCUCUCUCUCAAGCCACCAUACUG
rnacentral:miRNA from 1 species